rnacentral:rRNA from 1 species
AUACGGAGGACGCGAGCGUUAUCCGGAUUCAUUGGGUUUAAAGGGUGCGCAGGCGGCCGUGCAAGUCAGCGGUGAAAGCCCGGGGCUCAACCCCGGAAGUGCCGUUGAUACUGCAUGGCUGGAAAGCGGUCGAGGCGGGCGGAAAGGGGGGUGGUGUGGGGGAAUGCGUAGAUAUGCCACAGAACGCCGAUAGCGGAGGCAGCUCGCCAGGCCUGCAUUGACGCUCGGGCACGAAAGCGUGGGGAUCGAACAGGAUUAGAUACCCUGGUAGUCCACGCCGUAAACGAUGGGCGCUCGUCGUCGGCGGCAGACAGUCGGCGGCCAAGCGAAAGCGAUAAGCGCCCCACCUGGGGAGUACGGUCGCAAGGCUGAAACUCAAAUGAAUUGACGGGG